CGUGUAGGCGGCCUGCCAAGUCGGGUGUGAAAGCCCUCGGCUCAACCCGAGGAAUUGCACCCGAUACUGGCGGGCUAGAGUCCGGGAGGGGGUAGCGGAAUUCCCAGUGUAGCGGUGAAAUGCGUAGAUAUUGGGAAGAACACCAGUGGCGAAGGCGGCUACCUGGACCGGAACUGACGCUGAGGCGCGAAAGCUAGGGGAGCGAAUG
rnacentral:rRNA from 1 species